UCCUACGGGAGGCAGCAGUGGGGAAUUUUGGACAAUGGGCGAAAGCCUGAUCCAGCAAUGCCGCGUGCAGGAUGAAGGCCUUCGGGUUGUAAACUGCUUUUGUACGGAACGAAAAAGCUUCUCUUAAUACGAGAGGCCCAUGACGGUACCGUAAGAAUAAGCACCGGCUAAUUACGUGCCAGCAGCCGCGGUAAUACGUAGGGUGCGAGCGUUAAUCGGAAUUACUGGGCGUAAAGCGUGCGCAGGCGGUUAUGUAAGACAGAUGUGAAAUCCCCGGGCUCAACCUGGGAACUGCAUUUGUGACUGCAUGGCUAGAGUACGGUAGAGGGGGAUGGAAUUCCGGGUGUAGCAGUGAAAUGGGUGGAUAUGCGGAGGAACCCCGAUGGGGAAGGCAAUCCCCGGGGCCUG
rnacentral:rRNA from 1 species